rnacentral:rRNA from 1 species
CCUACGGGGGGCAGCAGUAGGGAAUAUUGCUCAAUGGGGGAAACCCUGAAGCAGCAACGCCGCGUGGAGGAUGAAGGUUUUCGGAUUGUAAACUCCUUUUUUUAGAGAAGAUAAUGACGGUACCUAUCGAAUAAUCACCGGCUAACUCCGGGCCAGCAGCCGCGGUAAUACGGAGGGUGCAAGCGUUACUCGGAAUCACUGGGCGUAAAGGGCGCGUAGGCGGGGUAGCAAGUCAGAUGUGAAAUCCUAUGGGUUAACCAUAGAACUGCAUUUGAAACUGUUAUUCUAGAGUAUGGGAGAGGUAGGUGGAAUUCUUGGUGUAGGGGUAAAAUCCGUAGAGAUCAAGAGGAAUACUGAUUGCGAAGGCAACCUGCUAGAGCAUAACUGACGCUGAUGCGCGAAAGCGUGGGGAGCAAACAGGAUUAGAUACCCCAGUAGUC